rnacentral:rRNA from 1 species
CAAUAGCGUAUAUUAACGUUGUUGCAGUUAAAAAGCUCGUAGUUGGAUUUCUGGAGGGAGCGUCGGCCCGUAUUUACGAGUGCGUGACGUCUCUGUCCAUCCUUGCGGGAAGGCACGGCAUUGAUUUGUUGUGUCGGAUCGCAUCAUUUACUGUGAAAAAAUUAGAGUGUUCAAAGCAGGCUUUCGCUUGAAUACAUUAGCAUGGAAUAAUAAGAUAGGACUUUGGUGCUGUUUUGUUGGUUGAGCCUAAAGUAAUGAUUAAUAGGGAUAGUUGGGGGCACCUGUAUUGCGUUGUCAGAGGUGAAAUUCUUGGAUUUACGCAAGACAAACAGCUGCGAAAGCGUCUGCCAAGGAUGUUUUCAUUA